AGAGUUUGAUCCUGGCUCAGAUUGAACGCUGGCGGCAUGCCUUACACAUGCAAGUCGAACGGCAGCACGGACUUCGGUUUGGUGGCGAGUGGCGAACGGGUGAGUAAUACAUCGGAACGUGCCUAGUAGUGGGGGAUAACUACUCGAAAGAGUGGCUAAUACCGCAUGAGAUUUACGGAUGAAAGCAGGGGAUCGCAAGACCUUGUGCUAAUAGAGCGGCCGAUGGCAGAUUAGGUAGUUGGUGGGAUAAAAGCUUACCAAGCCAACGAUCUGUAGCUGGUUUGAGAGGACGAUCAGCCACACUGGGACUGGGGCACGGCCCAGACUCCUACGGGAGGCAGCAGUGGGGAAUUUUGGACAAUGGGCGAAAGCCUGAUCCAGCAAUGCCGCGUGCAGGAUGAAGGCCUUCGGGUUGUAAACUGCUUUUGUACGGAACGAAAAGCUUCGGGUUAAUACCCUGGAGUCAUGACGGUACCGUAAGAAUAAGCACCGGCUAACUACGUGCCAGCAGCCGCGGUAAUACGUAGGGUGCAAGCGUUAAUCGGAAUUACUGGGCGUAAAGCGUGCGCAGGCGGUUUUGUAAGACAGAGGUGAAAUCCCCGGGCUCAACCUGGGAACUGCCUUUGUGACUGCAAGGCUAGAGUACGGCAGAGGGGGAUGGAAUUCCGCGUGUAGCAGUGAAAUGCGUAGAUAUGCGGAGGAACACCGAUGGCGAAGGCAAUCCCCUGGGCCUGUACUGACGCUCAUGCACGAAAGCGUGGGGAGCAAACAGGAUUAGAUACCCUGGUAGUCCACGCCCUAAACGAUGUCAACUGGUUGUUGGGUCUUCAUUGACUCAGUAACGAAGCUAACGCGUGAAGUGACCGCCU
rnacentral:rRNA from 1 species